GGGGAAAGAAGCAUCUGAACGGCUAAAUUGUGCCAGCAGCGCUGAGAGCCAGAGUCACGAGACCUUGCUGCGGACGUGGUUGUCUGUCCUUCCCCCGGGGAUGCCGUUGACUGUGGCCGUCUCAGGCUCACGUGGCUUCUCUCUGCCCGGCCUCGCCGUCCUUGCAGCGCGGGGCUCAAAAGGGAUAGACAAAGCCCUUCCCGGCUGUGGACAGGACCUGCCUCGGCUGAAGCUGGAGACACCAACGAAAGGUAAAGAAGAAGAAAUUGAAGGCGCUCUGGCUGACAGCUGCCUUCCUGCCGCAGGCAAGAGAGAGCCUGUCCCUGCAGGUGAGGGAGGAAGGAUCCCCCUUCGUAGUCCGCAGCGGGCCAGGCCGACGUGCACCGCAGGGUCUGUACGCGUAACCCGGAGUUCGGUACGGGCGUGUAGUGCACGAGCGAGCUAGGCUACGUGCCUAGGAAGCCUCAUCUUGUAAGAGCUGUAAGACACCCAUGUAUCCUCUUUAGGUGGAGGAUGGCCUAGAGUCUGGAGCUGCAGAAGAGGCAGGGAGGAGAGAAGGGGAAACAAGCAUCUGAACGGCUAAAUUGUGCCAGCAGCGCUGAGAGCGAGAGUCACGGUGGAGGAUGGCCUAGAGUCUGGAGCUGCAGAAGAGGCAGGGAGGAGAGAAGGGGAAACAAGCAUCUGAACGGCUAAAUUGUGCCAGCAGCGCUGAGAGCGAGAGUCACGCCCGUCGCUCCAGGAGCCAGGCGACGGACGGUCCCUUCCCUGCCAAACCAGGACAAGCGUGUGCCGUGGUUUAGCCCCAGCUGGCAACUCUGCACCAGGGAGUU